UACAGAGGGUGCGAGCGUUAAUCGGAAUUACUGGGCGUAAAGCGCACGUAGGCGGCUUGGUAUGUCGGGUGUGAAAUCCCCGGGCUCAACCUGGGAACUGCAUCCGAAACUGCUUUGCUAGAGUAUGGGAGAGGGAAGUGGAAUUUCCGGUGUAGCGGUGAAAUGCGUAGAUAUCGGAAGGAACAUCAGUGGCGAAGGCGGGUCUCUGGGCCGAUACUGACGCUGAGGAGCGAAAGCGUGGGGAGCGAACAGG
rnacentral:rRNA from 1 species